AAAGAAACCAACAGGGAUUGCCUCAGUAACGGCGAGUGAAGCGGCAAGAGCUCAAAUUUGAAAGCUGGCUCCUUCGGGGUCCGCAUUGUAAUUUGCAGAGGAUGCUUCGGGCAUGGCCCCCGUCUAAGUGCCCUGGAAGGGGCCGUCAUAGAGGGUGAGAAUCCCGUCUGGGACGGGGUGUCCGUGUCCGUGUGAAGCUCCUUCGACGAGUCGAGUUGUUUGGGAAUGCAGCUCUAAAUGGGUGGUAAAUUUCAUCUAAAGCUAAAUACUGGCCGGAGACCGAUAGCGCACAAGUAGAGUGAUCGAAAGAUGAAAAGCACUUUGAAAAGAGAGUUAAACAGCACGUGAAAUUGUUGAAAGGGAAGCGUUUGCGACCAGACUCGCCCGCGGGGUUCAACCGGCAUUCGUGCCGGUGUACUUCCCCGUGGGCGGGCCAGCGUCGGUUUGGGCGGCCGGUCAAAGGCCUCCGGAAUGUAUCACCCUUCGGGGUUGUCUUAUAGCCGGGGGUGCAAUGCGGCCUGCCCGGACCGAGGAACGCGCUUCGGCUCGGACGCUGGCGUAAUGGUCGUAAAUGAC
rnacentral:rRNA from 1 species